UACGGGGGGGGUAAGCGUUGUUCGGAAUUACUGGGCGUAAAGGGCUCGUAGGCGGCCAACUAAGUCGGACGUGAAAUCCCUCAGCUUAACUGGGGAACUGCGUCCGAUACUGGAUGGCUUGGAUUUGGGAGAGGGAUGCGGAAUUCCAGGUGUAGCGGUGAAAUGCGUAGAUAUCUGGAGGAACACCGGUGGCGAAGGCGGGUCUCUGGGCAGUAACUGACGCUGAGGCGCGAAAGCUAGGGGAGCAAACGGG
rnacentral:rRNA from 1 species